CCUUCUCUUGUUCUAUAUGCACGUCAUAUGGUGUUAAAUGCAGUUUCGCAGUCUAAACUAUAUCAAUGCAGUGCAUAAGUGAUCGCUUCCUUUCAACAUCAAAUGACGCGGAUAAAGAAAGAGAGAAGGGUUUUUUACUGCUAUUCAAAAAGUAGAAAAUGACACUUACCGCCUUUCAACAAUAAUCGAUUCAAUUAAGCUAUCUUAUGAUUAUAAUAAAAAGAAAUACAAUGUAUGGGCAUAAGUAGGUACAGUGUGGGCGGAAAGUGAGACUUACAUGAAUUUUGUUUAACCCUUUAAUCGGUAAUCCCGGCAUUAAAAUAAUCAAAUUAUUUUAAAAUGUAAAAUUUAUUUGCUCUCAUAUCGACUACACCACUUUUCGGCAAGAAUAGUGUCGGCCAGUGGUAACGGUUUAAAAGUUGUAGGUUCAGUUACUUGAGAGAUAAUAUGGUCAAUGUGUAAACAUGCAAGUGAAUCGUAUGUAGAAAUUAUUGCUCUAGAACACGUGUAAUCGAACCGUAAAAUAAAAUAGUUCUAGUUGUGCAAUUGAUUUCAUAUUCUUUUGAAAAUGGAAAAUAAUAGAUCUCAAAGACGAAGAAAGUAUGGUGCGAAAAGGUAUAACAAACAAGCUGACAGAUGCAGAAAAAAGGACAAAAUACGAUCUUUACACAAUAACCGAUGAACAAAUCUACGAGAUCAUGAACUCUAAUCUUGAUUCAGAUGACGAGAUAGUUUACGAACAUUUUUUUUUUUAUUAUUUAUUAAAUUAACAAUGCACCUAA
rnacentral:lncRNA from 1 species